AGCGAACGCUGGCGGCAGGCCUAAAACAUGCAAGUCGAACGCCCUAGCAAUAGGGAGUGGCAGACGGGUGAGUAACACGUGGGAACGUGCCUUUUGGUUCGGAACAACACAGGGAAACUUGUGCUAAUACCGGAUAAGCCCUUACGGGGAAAGAUUUAUCGCCAAAAGAUCGGCCCGCGUCUGAUUAGCUAGUUGGUGGGGUAACGGCCCACCAAGGCUACGAUCAGUAGCUGGUCUGAGAGGAUGAUCAGCCACACUGGGACUGAGACACGGCCCAGACUCCUACGGGAGGCAGCAGUUAGGAAUCUUGGACAAUGGGCGCAAGCCUGAUCCAGCCAUGCCGCGUGAGUGAUGAAGGCCUUAGGGUUGUAAAGCUCUUUCAGCGGGGAAGAUAAUGACGGUACCCGCAGAAGAAGCCCCGGCUAACUUCGUGCCAGCCGCCGCGGUAA
rnacentral:rRNA from 1 species